UACUGCACGUCGUACGAGUUCUCGUUGAUGAUCGGUGCUUGCCCCGAGAUUCUACAUGGAACGAGUGGCGGACGGCUGAGUAACACGUGGGUAACCUGCCCUUAAGUGGGGGAUAACAUUUGGAAACCGAUGCUAAUACCGCAUAGAUCCAAGAACCGCAUGGUUCUUGGCUGAAAGAUGGCGUAAGCUAUCGCUUUUGGAUGGACCCGCGGCGUAUUAUCUAGUUGGUGAGGUAAUGGCUCACCAAGGCGAUGAUACGUAGCCGAACUGAGAGGUUGAUCGGCCACAUUGGGACUGAGACACGGCCCAAACUCCUACGGGAGGCAGCAGUAGGGAAUCUUCCACAAUGGACGCAAGUCUGAUGGAGCAACGCCGCGUGAGUGAAGAAGGCUUUCGGGUCGUAAAACUCUGUUGUUGGAGAAGAAUGGUCGGCAGAGUAACUGUUGCCGGCGUGACGGUAUCCAACCAGAAAGCCACGGCUAACUACGUGCCAGCAGCCGCGGUAAUACGUAGGUGGCAAGCGUUAUCCGGAUUUAUUGUGCGUAAAGCGAGCGCACGCGGGUUUUUAAGUCUGAUGUGAAAGCCCUCGGCUUAACCGAGGAAGCGCAUCGGAAACUGGGAAACUUGAGUGCAGAAGAUGACAGUGUAACUCCAUGUGUAGCGGCUGAAAUGCGUAGAUAUAUGGAAGAGCACCAGUGUCGCAGGCGACUGUCUGGUCUGUAACUGACGCUGAGGCUCGAAAGCAUGUC
rnacentral:rRNA from 2 species